rnacentral:lncRNA from 1 species
UUUCAGGGACCACUGCAAUUUAGGGAUGUGGCCACAGAAUUCUCUCUGGAGGAGUGGCAUUGCCUGGACACUGCACAGUGGAAUUUAUAUAGGGAUGUGAUUUUAGAGAACCACAGAAACCUGGUCUUCCUUGCCAGACCUGAUCACCUGUCUGGAGCAAGGAAAAAAACCCUUGACUAUGAAGAGACAUGAGAUGAUUGCCAAACCCCCAA